rnacentral:rRNA from 1 species
UUGAACGCUGGCGGCAUGCUUUACACAUGCAAGUCGAACGGCAGCGGGGAGGAGCUUGCUUCUCUGCCGGCGAGUGGCGAACGGGUGAGUAAUACAUCGGAACGUGUCGAGAAGAGGGGGAUAACCACCCGAAAGGGUGGCUAAUACCGCAUAAAUUCUGAGGAAGAAAGCUGGGGACCUAGGAAUAGGCCUAGCGCUUUUUGAGCGGCCGAUGUCGGAUUAGCUAGUUGGUGAGGUAAAGGCUCACCAAGGCGAAGAUCUGUAGCGGGUCUGAGAGGAUGAUCCGCCACACUGGGACUGAGACACGGCCCAGACUCCUACGGGAGGCAGCAGUGGGGAAUUUUGGACAAUGGGGGCAACCCUGAUCCAGCCAUGCCGCGUGUAUGAAGAAGGCCUUAGGGUUGUAAAGUACUUUUGUUAGGGAAGAAAAGUCAGCUGUGAAUAAUGGCUGAUACUGACGGUACCUAAAGAAUAAGCACCGGCUAACUACGUG